rfam:Alligator mississippiensis ScZkoYb_19, whole genome shotgun sequence.
ACAUUAAAACUCUUAGGGGUCAUUUCUAUAGUUGGUGACUGGAGAGGUGGGUCCAAGAGUGAUUGGUUUUGGUAGCCACAAUGAGGAGUCAUAGUGCUCUCUUCUGAGUAUGAAACAAGUGGGUUGUACUGCUUGCGUGAAACAAGUAUCUAUUCUUGAUAACUGAUCAGCUUCUUUCCGGAAGCUAGGAGAGUCUGCAGGCUGAGUGGU